UACGAAGGGGGCUAGCGUUGUUCGGAAUCACUGGGCGUAAAGCGCACGCAGGCGGAUUGCUAAGUCAGGGGUGAAAUCCCGGAGCUCAACUUCGGAAUUGCCUUUGAUACUGUCUGUCUUGAGUCCGGGAGAGGUGAGUGGAAUUCCUAGUGUAGAGGUGAAAUUCGUAGAUAUUAGGAAGAACACCAGUGGCGAAGGCGGCUCACUGGCCCGGUACUGACGCUCAUGUGCGAAAGCGUGGGGAGCAAACAGG
rnacentral:rRNA from 1 species